GGUGUCGGUGGUGGAGGUCUGCCGAGCACGGCCGGCCUGGGCAGCGGGGGCGGUCUCGGCGGCGGGGCCGGCUCGGGGUCGGUUCCCGGUGGCGGCGC
rnacentral:tRNA from 1 species